rnacentral:rRNA from 1 species
CGCGUGAGAAUCUGGCUUUAGGUCGGGGACAACAGUUGGAAACGACUGCUAAUACCGGAUAUGCCGAGAGGUGAAAGAUUAAUUGCCUGAAGAAGAGCUCGCGUCUGAUUAGCUAGUUGGUGAGGUAAGAGCUUACCAAGGCGACGAUCAGUAGCUGGUCUGAGAGGACGAUCAGCCACACUGGGACUGAGACACGGCCCAGACUCCUACGGGAGGCAGCAGUGGGGAAUUUUCCGCAAUGGGCGAAAACCUGACGGAGCAAUACCGCGUGAGGGAGGAAGGCUCUUGGGUUGUAAACCU